rnacentral:lncRNA from 1 species
GGCGGCAUAGGAACCACAGAACCCCCUACUACUUUCUAAAGUUUCUAUUAUUUUUCAAGAAACACAAAACAAAAUAUGAAAACAAAACCUCAUAGGCCAACUGUCAUUAGUUUGCAAGUAAAACAGUGAUUUGGAGAAAUUUUUAGUUGUAAUCGAUUAUAUACAAUUAUAUGUUUAUUUCUCUUUAAAGAGAUAAAAAGAAAAAAACUGAAAAUCAUAGGCACCCAAAAGCAAAAUGAUCUAGG